rnacentral:rRNA from 1 species
UCGUGGAGUGAUCUGUCUGCUUAAUUGCGUUUCAGAUAUAUAAAGGUAAGUUUAUAUUGUGAGGUAUAUUGUCUUUACUUCGGUAGGGCUAUACUGAGCAGACUACCUUUUGAAAGCAACGAACGUGACCUCAGCUCAAUGUUAUCUCUUAAAAGAGACCAACUUUGAGGACCGCCAGAGUUGUCAACUCGGAGGAAGGUUGAGGCAAUAAUAGGUCUGUGAUGCCCUUAG